GUCACUUUGCCGGAGUGGUUAACGGGAUCGCCUGCUAUUUUCAGCCAAGCGGUUGUGCUUUGCACGCGUGUGUUCGAAUCGCACAGGUGACG